rnacentral:snRNA from 1 species
GUGCUUGCUUCAGCAGCACCUGUACUAAAAUUGGAAUGAUACUGAGAUUAGUGUGGCCCCAGCCAAGGAUAGCAGGCAAAUUUGUGAAGCACUCUAUUAAAAA